rnacentral:lncRNA from 1 species
GUUGGAAUAAAGUAAUAAACUUGAUUUGUAAAGAAUAUUCUAGAAUUAGAAGAAAAGAAAGAAAAAAGAAAUUUGAAGAAAUUUGUAGAAAUAUCUAGAAUAGUUGAGAAUGAAGAAAAAUGUAGAAUGGUUGAGAAUGUAUUAGAGAAAGAGGAAUAAUCUAGAAUAGUUGAGAAAAUUAAAGUUAGGAUGAAAAGAAAUAGAUAAACUAGAGGAUUCUAGAGAAGUAUUAGAAAAAUAAUAGUUGAGAAUAUUCUAGAGAAUGUAGGAAUCAUCUACUCACCACUAUAAAUAUGUAACCAUGUUUGGAAUGUAAUGAAAAAAAGAAAGUUAGAAAGAAAGUGAAUUGAAGAAAAGAUUGUGUUAGCAAACUCCAAUCCUCCCACUCAAAUUCUUAAGCACACACACG